GCCACGAUGGUGAAAUUGGUAAACACAGCGCAUUUAAAAUGCGCCGCUAAUGGCCUGCGGGUUCGAGUCCCGCUCGUGGCACCA
rnacentral:tRNA from 2 species